rnacentral:rRNA from 1 species
UACAGAGGUCUCAAGCGUUGUUCGGAUUCAUUGGGCGUAAAGGGCGCGUAGGCGGCGCGCUAAGUCGGGUGUGAAAUUUCGGAGCUUAACUCCGAAACUGCAUUCGAUACUGGCGUGCUUGAGGACUGGAGAGGAGACUGGAAUUCAUGGUGUAGCAGUGAAAUGCGUAGAGAUCAUGAGGAAGACCAGUGGCGAAGGCGGGUCUCUGGACAGUUCCUGACACUGAGACACGAAGGCCAGGGGAGCAAACGGG